rnacentral:rRNA from 1 species
GACGAACGCUGGCGGCGUGCUUAACACAUGCAAGUCGAACGGAAAGGCCUGCUUUCCCUUGUGGAUUGCGGGUACUCGAGUGGCGAACGGGUGAGUAACACGUGAGUGAUCUGCCCCCAACUUGGGUAUAAGCCUGGGAAACUGGGUCUAAUUCCCGAUAGGACUGCAGGGUGGUGCCUGUGGUGGAACACGAUUUUCUAGUGGUUGGGGAUGAGCUCGCGGCCUAUCAGCUUGUUGGUGGGGUAAUGGCCUACCAAGGCGGCGACGGGUAGCCGGCCUGAGAGGGUGGACGGCCACAGUGGGACUGGGAUACGGCCCAGACUCCUACGGGAGGCAGCAGUGGGGAAUAUAGGACAAUGGGCGGAAGCCUGAUGCAGCGACGCCGCGUGGGGGAUGACGGCCUUCGGGUUGUAAACUCCUUUCGACCGCGAGGAAGCCACCUGGUUGGAAGGGUGGUGACGGUAGUGGGAGAAGAAGCACCGGCUAACUACGUG